UAUCUCUGUAGAGUCUGCAUAUCAAUAAGCGGAGGAAAAGAAACUAACAAGGAUUCCCCUAGUAACGGCGAGUGAAGCGGGAAGAGCUCAAAUUUGAAAUCUUAAAGGGUUUCCCUUUACGAAUUGUAGUUUAAAGAAGUGUUUUCUGUUGGAGUUUCGGUAAAUGUUCUUUGGAAUAGGACAUCAUAGAGGGUGAGAAUCCCGUAUUUGACCAUUAUUUCAGCUGUGUGAUACACUUUCAAAGAGUCGGAUUGUUUGGGAAUGCAGUCCAAAAUGGGUGGUAAAUUUCAUCUAAAGCUAAAUAUUGGCGAGAGACCGAUAGCGAACAAGUACCGUGAGGGAAAGAUGAAAAGAACUUUGAAAAGAGAGUUAAACAGUACGUGAAAUUGUCAAAAGGGAAGCGUUUGACACCAGUGUUGUUUUUCCGAAAAUCAAUUAUAAAUGUUUUGUUUCUGAGGAGUGAUGACUUCAUCGGCUUCCUUCUCUCUUCACGAAACUUUUGUAAUGCACUUUUCGGUUAACAAGUCAACAUCAAUUUCUUUUGUUGUAAAAGAGUAUUCGGAAGGUGGCUUUCUUUUCGGAGAAAGUGUUUAUAGCCCUAUACUUCUACAAUCGGAGAGAUUGAGGUCUGCAGCGUAGAUCCUUCGGGGUUAGAUACACUUGUGCUAAGUUGUAGCUUUUCAUAGACAACUUGUUGACUAUGUUUAGUCAUGCGGCUUACUCGCUUGCGCUAUUUUACCUACGCUUAGGAUGUUGAGCGCAUGUCUCUCUCU
rnacentral:rRNA from 1 species